rnacentral:rRNA from 1 species
UACGGAGGGUCCAAGCGUUGUCCGGAAUCACUGGGAGUAAAGGGCGCGUAGGCGGCCAUGCGUGUCUUUCGUGAAAUCCCUCGGCUUAACUGAGGACGUGCGGAAGAAACUGCAAGGCUUGAGUCCGGGAGAGGGGGGUGGAAUUCCCAGUGUAGCGGUGAAAUGCGUAGAUAUUGGGAGGAACACCGGUGGCGAAGGCGGCCCCCUGGACCGGUACUGACGCUGAGGCGCGAAAGCGUGGGUAGCAAACGGG